rnacentral:piRNA from 1 species
UGAGAGACAUAAGAGUAGACUUGGACCA